GAAAAUGACUAUAUGUCUACGUUUAUCAUUUCUAAGUAUUGGAUUCAAUUAUAAUUUUCCGUCAUUUUAAAAACUCAAAUUGGCAAUAUCUAUUUGCUUUUAAAAGUGUAACAGAUGCUAUGGAUAAUAAUAGUAAAGUAGAGUAUAAUAUAUUAGAUUGAUAGUAGGUAGAGUUAGAGAACCCGCACUUUGCAAACUUUAAGUCGCCAGUUUGUUCAGACUCUUAAAUCAGUAUGGAAAUGAAUGAUGAACGCACAUAACAACGAUCAGGUAUUUGGCCGGUAUCAGACCGACUAAAAUCUUAAAAAAUAAUGUAAGCUUUAAAUGUAAGCUUUGUUUACUAUAUUAUGUUGUAUACAUACAGUAAGCAAUGUGUGUAAUAACUUAAUUUUUAUUAAUUGUACGUCGCCUAAAUGAACGACACUGCCUACAACGGAACGGGACACAAGCAGUGACGAAACGUCAAAAAGAGAUGUGAGAAUUUUUAAGCCCAUGCGGUUAAAAUUAUAAUAUUACAUUUAAGAAGAUUAGAUUAAACUAAAAUAAUAAACAAUAUAAGUGAUACAGUGUCGAUCUACUAUAUAUGGAAGAAAAACCUUUUAUUGUCGAUUUUUCUGUUUUAGAUAAAUCAAACUGUGUUUUUCUCCAGCACCGUCCAACAUAUUAUAAAUCGACAAUAGUCAGAGUUGAUUGGAUAAUAGUAGAUCAUGCCGAGAUUGCAAUUUGAGGUUGAGUUGGCAGCGGAUGAAGAUCCGAAGAAUAAUAUCAUAAUUAUAAAAUCGAUAACAACCGAAGAUGCAAUUACAUAUCUCAUACCGCCAUGUUUCCAAGCAGUAAAACACCACCAUCAACUGACAAAGUUACCAGAAUUUAUGAAAAUAAAGAAAACACUACAGAGAAGAGGUAAUAAUAGAAAGGUGUGGAUAAAGCUGCCAAGUGAUAUUUUAGCCCUCUACAAAGAUGAUACUGGAAAUUUCAUGUUUAAUGAUUAUUUAUUACAAGAAACAACCAAAGCUGCAGGCCAACCUAAUAUGGAUCAAAAAUUGUUAGAAAUUUUAGAGAAACUCAGUGAAAAAAGUGAAAAACAUACUGUGAAUAAAGAAAAACAUGACAAUUUAAGCAAAUUAACUGCUAAGUUUGUUUUGAAAAAGUUUGAUAAUAAGACCACCAAUGCUAAACAAUGGUUGCAAAGUUUUGAGAGUGAAUGUACAAGAUUCGAUUUAACUGGUGAUACAGAAAAAAUCAGUGCCUUGAGAUUGUUUUUAAACGACUCGGAAAGUGACUGGUAUGAGUCAAUGUUAAUUAACCCUAGAUCACUAACCUUCGUCAAAACGACGACGAGGAUUUAAAAAAAGUGGUAUAAUUUUUGAGUGCGUCGUCGCACGCAUUUCAAAUUCCAGCUAAUCUCAGUCGAACCAACGCUCUCGCGGACCACGGGUGUAUUUUUUGUGUAGUGGCCCUGUGCUCGCCGUUCCAGCCACCAUGAGUCGUCGAAUCGACGAAGAUACGAUUCGUCACCUGUUAUGUGAUGAUAAUAGUGACGAAGAAACUUCUACUUCUACACAUGAGCCUGAUCAAAGAGAAGAUGCCGAUAAUCUUCCUAUCGCUAAAAAAAGAAAACCUAGUACAAUUUGCCCCUCCGCAAGACGAAGAAUGACAAAGAGUUGUUGCACUAAGUGCAACAAAUCCUUGUGUGGCGAACACAAACUUGACAUUUGUCACAAAUGUAUUAAUUGAUAGUUUUUUAAUAAAAUGUUUUUUUCU
rnacentral:lncRNA from 1 species